GACGUAGGGGGCCAGCGUUGCUCGGAAUUACUGGGCGUAAAGGGUUCGUAGGCGGUGUGGCAAGUCGGUCGUGAAAUCCCUGGGCUCAACUCAGGGGGGUCGGCCGAUACUGCCGUUCUUGAGGGAUGCAGAGGAGACUGGAAUUCCCGGUGUAGCGGUGAAAUGUGUAGAGAUCGGGAGGAACACCGGUGGCGAAGGCGGG
rnacentral:rRNA from 1 species